CUCAGGAUGAUAGCCUCCAGAUCCAUCCAUUUGCCUAGGAAUUUCAUAAAUUCAUUCUUUUUAAUAGCUGAGUAGUACUCCAUUGUGUAAAUGUACCAAAUUUUCUGUAUCCAUUCCUCUAUUGAGGGACAUCUGGGUUCUUUCCAGCUUCUGGCUAGUAUUAAAAAGGCUGGUAUGAACAUAGUGGACCAUGUGUUCUUAUUACCAGUUGGAACAUCUUCUGUGUAUAUGCCCGGGAGAGGUAUUGCUGGAUCUUCCAGUAGUACUAUGUCCAAUUUUCUGAGGAAACACCAGACUGAUUUCCAGAGUGGUUGUACCAGCUUGCAAUCCUGGGAAGGAAGUUGGGUUAAAUUGCCCUUUCAAGCUCUUUGAAGAAUGAAGUUAGAAUUUUGAUGGGGAUUGCAUUGAAUCUGUAGAUUGCUUUCGGCAAGAUAGCCAUUUGGCGUAUAUUAAUCCUUCCAAUCCAUGAGCAUGGGAGAUCUUUCCAUCUUCAGAGUCCUUCUCCAAUUUCUUUCUUUAGAGACUUGAAGUUCUAUCAUAUAGAUCUUUCACUUGCUUAGAUUCACACCAAGAUAUUUUAUAUUAUUUUUAAUGAUUGUGAAAAGUGCUGUUUCCCUAAUUUCUUUCUCAGCCUGUUUAUCGUUUGUGUAGAGGAAGGUCACUGAUUUGUUUAAAAUAAUCUUAUAUACAGCCACUUUGCUGAACUUGUCUAUCAGGUUUAGGAGUUUUAGGUGAAAUGUUUAAAGUCUCUUAAGUACACUACAAUAUCAUCUGCAAAUUGUGUUACUGUGACGUCUUCCUUUCCAAUUUGUAUCCCUUUGAUCUCCUUUUGUUGUUUAAUUGCUCUGGCUAGGACUUCAAGCACUAUACUGAAUAGGUAGGGAGAGAGUGGACAGCCUUGCCAAGUUCCUGAUUUUAGUGGGAUUGCUUCAAGUUUCUCUCCAUUUAGUUUGAUGUUGGCAACUGGUUUGCUGUAUAUUGCUUUUACAAUGUUUAGGUAUGGGCCUUGAAUUCCUAAUCUUUCCAAGACAAUUAUCAUGAAUGGGUGUUGGAUUUUGUCAAAUGCUUUCUCAGUAUCUAAUGAGAUGAUCAUGUAGUUUUUGUCUUUGAGUUUGUUUAUAUAUUGGAUUACGUUCAUGGAUUUCGGUAUAUUGAACCAUCCCUGCUUCCCUGGGAGGAAGCCUACUUGAUCAUGAUGAAUGAUAAUUUUGAUGGGUUCUUUGAUUUGGACAGUGAGAAUUUUAUUGAGUAUUUUUCAUUAAUAUUCAUAAGGGAAAUUUGUCUGAAGUUCCCAUUCAUUUUGGGGGUCUUUGUGUGGUUUAGGUAUUAGAGUAAUUGUGGCUUCAUAGAACGAAUUGGGUAGAGUACCUUCGGUUUCUAUUUUGUGGAACAUUUUGAGGAAUAAUGGUAUUAGAUCUUCUUUGAAUUUUUGAUAGAACUCUCCAUUAAUCCAAUCAGGUCCUGGGCUUUUUUUGGUUGGGAGACUAUUAAUGACAGUUUCUAUUUCUUUAGGGUAUAUGGGUCUGUAUACAUCAUUAAUCUGAUCCUGAUUUAACUUUGGUACCUGGUAUCUGUCUGGAAAAGUGUCCAUUUCAUGCAGGUUUUCCAGUUUUGUUGAAUAUAGGCUUUUAUAGUAGGGUCUAAUGAUUUUUUAGAUUUCCUCAGGUUCUUUUGUUAUGUCUCCCCUUUCAUUUCUGAUUUUGUUAACUAAGAUGCUAUCUCCGUGCCUUCUAGUUAGUAUGGCUAAAGGUUUGUCUAUUUUGUUAAUUUUCUCAAAAAAAAAAAAAAACACAGCUCUUGGUUUGGGUGAUUCUUUCUAUAGUUCUUUUUGUUUACACUUGGUUGAUUUCAGCCCUGAAUUUGUUUAUUUCCUGCUGUUUACUCCUCUUGGGUGAAUUUGCUUCUUUUUGUUCUAGAGCUUUCAGGUGUGAUGUCAAGCCACUAUUGUAUGCUCUCUCUAGUUUCUUUUUGGAGGUACUCAGAGCUAUUAGUUUUCUUCUUAGGACAGCUUUCAAGGUAUCCCAUGAGUUUGGGUAUGUUCAUCUUCAUAAAUUUUAUCUUUGUUGUGUCUUCAUUUUCAUUAAACUCUACAAAGUCUUUAAUUUCUUUAUUUCUUCUUUGGCCAAGUUAUCAUUGAUUACAGUGUUGUUCAGUUUCCACGUGUAUGUGGGCUUUCUAUUAUUUAUGUUGUUUUUGAAGAUCAGCCUUAGUCCAUGGUGAUCUGAUAGGAUGCAUGGAAUUAUUUCAAUCUUCUUAUAUCUAUUGAGGCCCUUUUUGUGACCUAUUAUAUGGUCAAUUUUGUAGAGAAUGUACCAUGAAGUGCUGAGAAGAAAGUAUAUCCUUUUGUUUUAGGAAAAAAAUGUUCUAUAGAUAUAUGAUAAAUCCAUUUGUUUCAUAACUUCUAUUAGUUUCACUCUAUCUCUGUUCAGUUUCUGUUUCCAGGAUCUGUCCAUUGAUGAGAGUGAGGUGUUGAAAUCUCCCAUUAUUAUUGUGUUUGGUGCUAUGUGUGUUUUGAGCUUUAUGGAGCAUAGAUGUUGACAAUUGAGAGUUCAUCUUCAUAAAUUUUACCUUUGAUGAGUAUGAAGUUUCCCUCCUUAUCAUUUUGGAUAACUUUAGGUUGAUUUUAUUCG
rnacentral:lncRNA from 1 species